AUUGAACGCUGGCGGCAGGCCUAACACAUGCAAGUCGAACGAGUGGCGGACGGGUGAGUAAUGUAUGGGAAACUGCCCGAUAGAGGGGGAUAACUACUGGAAACGGUAGCUAAUACCGCAUACUAUCAGCUGAACCCAUAUGGGAUUAGCUAGUAGGUGGGGUAAAGGCUCACCAAGGCGACGAUCCAUAGCUGGUCUGAGUGGAUGACCAGUAACAGUGGAACGGUGACACGGCCCAGACUCCUACGGGAGGAAGCAGUGGGGAAUAUUGCACAAUGGGCGAAAGCCUGAUGCAUCCAGGCCGCGUGUAUGAAGAAGGCCUUAGGGUUGUAAAGUACUUUCAGCGGGGAGGCGUUACCCGCAGAAGAAGCACCGGCUAACUCCGUGCCAGCGGCCGCGGUAAUAC
rnacentral:rRNA from 1 species